CAGGCUGUUCUGUUCAAAGCCUCACUCCCUGAAGCUCAUAAAUCUUGAUCGGAGAGACGGUGAGCAGGACUGUCAUCACCUGGCUACUGAGAGCAUCCCCUUUCUGGGACUCUGUCUCCUCUCUGUCUUGGAAUCUCUUCUCUUCAGUGACGCUGAGUUCACGGCCAAUCUUCAGCCAUGAAGAUCCUUUACCUGCUCUUUGCUGUUGUCUUCUUGGUGCUCCAGGGUGUCACAGAAUUCUCCCAGGCUCAGAGGAUCAGCUUGGUGUGUACACAGCUUGGAGGUACCUGCUUCCCUUGGAGAUGUCCCUCCAAUUCUGUGUACAUUAGAAGAUGCUAUCCACGGGGCGUUUGCUGUCGAAGGAGAUUUUUUGACUGACUGUCUAAUCAGGAUCUCAGGGAAUCAGGGAGACAGCCACUUGCUUCUAAAAUCAUCAGAUCCUGCUUCAAUGGAACGCUGAAGUGCUGCUUAUUUGGGCUGUAAAGAACCUUGUGAGCUGGAGAAAUUCCAUAAGGGAGCCCUGUACCAUCCCUAUAAGAUUUGUUACUCUCCUUUUAAUAAAAGCAAGCUGGUGUGAGAUCA